UCUUCUACUUAUCCACAGAACAGGAACAGCAUAAGCAUCAACAAUGCAAACUUCCUCACACUGUUCCCAAUCCUGUGGCCCAUUCAAUCCUCAGCCUGUUUGCUGAGCAUGACAACAGGAGUAG
rnacentral:sRNA from 1 species